UGCCACAGCCUUAUCACCCUGCAGCCAUUGACAGGUUACUCACUGAAGAUAAGCAGGACUGAGCCUGAUCAGUACCUGGAUGGUAGACCACAUGGGAAAAAUUGGGUUGCUGUUGGAA
ensembl:rRNA 5S_rRNA 5S ribosomal RNA